UACGGGGGGGGCAAGCGUUGUUCGGAAUUACUGGGCGUAAAGGGCUCGUAGGUGGCCAACUAAGUCAGACGUGAAAUCCCUCAGCUUAACUGGGGAACUGCGUCUGAUACUGGAUGGCUUGAGUUUGGGAGAGGGAUGCGGAAUUCCAGGUGUAGCGGUGAAAUGCGUAGAUAUCGGGAGGAACACCUGUGGCGAAAGCGGCUCACUGGACCACAACUGACGCUGAUGCACGAAAGCUAGGGGAGCAAACAGG
rnacentral:rRNA from 1 species